UUCCAGCUGUCUCUACUUGCACUUUCUCUCUCUACCCCAUCUCUCCCCAACCUGAUCCAUCCCCGCCCCACCAACAUCCCCACCUCCCCCUAGUCCACUCAUAAAAUCUAUUUCUCCCUUCCAGGGAGAUCUAUGCGUCUCUACUAGGCCCCUCCUCUUUACCUGAUUUCUCUAGGUCUAUGGAUUACAGCUUGGUUAUCAUUUACUUAACAGGAUGAGGUGGAAGCCGCUCGACAGAAGGGAUGUCCAUAAAAAUACUGAAACCACUCUGCCCAUCCUGAGUGCUCCCAGGGCUUCUCCUGUCCUGGCCCUCACCAGCUCUGCUGCCAGCCUUACAGGUACUUCCUUAGGAGAAGAUCUGCAUGUCUUCCAGACACAACUUCACUACACAAAGAAAGAGGCCAUGGAGUUCUAAUUGUGGAAUUUCAGUUGUCUGCGUGGGAGCUGGGCCCUGAUGGAAGGCGCACAUCAGCUGACUGCUGGGCCCUGCUGCUCCUCUGGAAAGAGGGGCACAUUGGCUGCCAUCCCAGGAUUUCUGUUAAUAAAUCAGACUUCUCUGCCACCA